rnacentral:rRNA from 1 species
GAUGAACGCUAGCUACAGGCUUAACACAUGCAAGUCGCGGGGCAUCAUGGAGGUUGCUUGCAAUUUCUGAUGGCGACCGGCGCACGGGUGAGUAACGCGUAUCCAACCUUCCCAUUACUACGGCAUACCCUGUUGAAAGGCGGCCUAAUUCCGUAUGCAGUCCGAAGCAGUCAUCUAAUUUGGACGAAAGGUAUAUUCUAUCGGUAAUGGAUGGGGAUGCGUCCGAUUAGCCAGCCGGCGGGGUAACGGCCCACCGGGGCAUUGAUCGGUAGGGGUUCUGAGAGGAAGGUCCCCCACACUGGAACUGAGACACGGUCCAGACUCCUACGGGAGGCAGCAGUGAGGAAUAUUGGUCAAUGGGCGUAAGCCUGAACCAGCCAAGUAGCGUGCAGGAUGACGGCCCUAUGGGUUGUAAACUGCUUUUAUGCGGGGAUAAAGUUGGGGACGUGUCCCUUUU